rnacentral:rRNA from 1 species
ACUCCUACGGGAGGCAGCAGUGGGGAAUAUUGCACAAUGGGGGAAACCCUGAUGCAGCCAUGCCGCGUGUGUGAAGAAGGCCUUCGGGUUGUAAAGCACUUUCAGUAGGGAGGAAGGUAGUGUAGUUAACACCUGCAUUAUUUGUACGUUACCUACAGAAGAAGCACCGGCUAACUCCGUGCCAGCAGCCGCGGUAAGUACGGAGGGUGCGAGCGUUAAUCGGAAUUACUGGGCGUAAAGCGCAUGCAGGCGGCCUGUAAGUCAGAUGUGAAACGCCCGGGGUCUUAACCUCGGAAUUGCAUUUGAAACUGGCAGGCUAGAGUCUUGUAGAGGGGUUAGAAUUUCGAGGUGUAGCGGUGAAAUGCGUAGAG